rnacentral:rRNA from 1 species
UAGUCCACGCCGUAAACGAUGGACACUAGAUGUCGGGAGGCUUGUCUUUUCGGUGUCGUAGCUAACGCGUUAAGUGUCCCGCCUGGGGAGUACGCCCGCAAGGGUGAAACUCAAAGGAAUUGACGGGGGCCCGCACAAGCGGUGGAGCAUGUGCUUUAAUUCGAUGCAACGCGAAGAACCUUACCUGGAUUUGACAUGGGAGUGAAAGGUUUUAGAGAUAAAACUCCUUCCUUCGGGAACACUCUGCACAGGUGCUGCAUGGUUGUCGUCAGCUCGUGUCGUGAGAUGUUGGGUUAAGUCCCGCAACGAGCGCAACCCUCGUCCUUAGUUGCCAUCAGGUAAUGCUGGGAACUCUAAGGAGACUGCCUGGUUCAACCAGGAGGAAGGUGGGGAUGACGUCAAAUCCUCAUGGCCCUUACGUCCAGGGCUAGACACGUGCUACAAUGGUCAGUACAGAGGGAUGCCAAGUCGUGAGACUGAGCUAAUCCGUUAAAAACUGAUCUCAGUUCGG